GACAAUAAUCUUUAUAAUGUUGUUAGUGUCUUCCAUAAAAAUGAACAGUAUUUGUCUUAUUAUACACAUUUAUAUAUAUAUAUGUUUCAGCAGUAUACUAUGUGUGAUUAAAGAAUGGCUUGCUAUCAAAGCGAUGGAGAUUAUUGUCUUAUGAAGAAUGAACACAGCAAAUCAAAAUGCAAAGACGUAAAUACCAUAGUGUUGUCGUUGUCAGAUGUUUAACUCAAUGAAACAAACUGCAAAGACGUAAUUUCAAUGCCAUAUUGUUGUCACCGUCAGAUAUUUGUGAGU